GGCCCGUUAGUAUAGCAGCUCUAGUACCUCCGCCUUUCACGCGGAAGACUCGAGUUGAAAUCUCGAACGGGUCA
rnacentral:tRNA from 1 species